rnacentral:rRNA from 1 species
UACGUAGGGGGCAAGCGUUGUCCGGAAUUAUUGGGCGUAAAGCGCGCGCAGGCGGUUGUUUAAGUCUGGUGUAUAAACCCGAGGCUCAACCUUGGGACGCAUUGGAAACUGGAGAACUGGAGUGUAGGAGAGGAAAGUGGAAUUCCACGUGUAGCGGUGAAAUGCGUAGAUAUGUGGAGGAACACCAGUGGCGAAGGCGACUUUCUGGCCUAUAACUGACGCUGAGGCGCGAAAGCGUGGGGAGCAAACAGG